GAUGAACGCUAGCUACAGGCUUUAACACAUGCAAGUCGAGGGGAACGAUNUUGGAAGCUUGCUUCCGAUAGGCGUCGACCGGCGCACGGGUGAGUAACGCGUAUCCAACCUGCCCGUCACUUGGGAAUAACCUUGCGAAAGUAAGACUAAUGCCCAAUGACAUUUUAUAGAAGGCAUCUGAAAUGAAUUAAAGAUUUAUCGGUGAUGGAUGGGGAUGCGUCUGAUUAGCUUGUUGGCGGGGUAACGGCCCACCAAGGCGACGAUCAGUAGGGGUUCUGAGAGGAAGGUCCCCCACAUUGGAACUGAGACACGGUCCAAACUCCUACGGGAGGCAGCAGUGAGGAAUAUUGGUCAAUGGGCGAGAGCCUGAACCAGCCAAGUAGCGUGCAGGAAGACGGCCCUAUGGGUUGUAAACUGCUUUUAUAGGGGAAUAAAGUGAGCCACGUGUGGUUUUUUGCAUGUACCCUAUGAAUAAGGACCGGCUAAUUCCGUG
rnacentral:rRNA from 1 species